CCCAUUUAAACUUUAUCGAAUAUUUAGUUUAGUACUUUUUAGUUUUAACUUUGUUACUGAUUUAAUGAAAAAAAUUAGUAAAAAAUAAAUAAAUAAAACCAUAGGGUACUGAAUUGAUACACUUAAAUUAUUGAGUACUAAAAUAAAAAGGUGUGAAACCACAGGAAUAAUAUUUGAAUUAUUAUAAUUUAAUUUAAUGCAGAAGUGAUGUAGUAUUUUUAUUCAAAAUUUUAAAUUAUUAUAAUUUAAUUUUUUGACUAAAUAUUAAUAAAUAAAUUAUUAAUACAGAAGUGAUAUAGUAUUUUAAUCAUUAUUACAUUACCAAUUGCAAUAUUAUUACAUCACUUUUAUAUUAUUAAUUUAUAAACAUUGAGUCAAAAAAUUUGGUUUUGAAAUUUAAUUGUAAAAGUUCAAAAAAUUUGAGUAAAGAAUUAAAGUAAAUUAAAAUUUAAGGACUAAAGAACGCCGCCCAUAGUUUGAGGACCAAAACAAUAAUUUACCCCUCUUUUAUUAAAGAAUAAAAUAUAAUAAAUUGUCACGUGUGAUAAUUUUUUAAUAUGAAAUUAUUGGUAUUGGUUACAACCAUAUGAGAACCAUGUAUAUGGUUAAGGGCCCACGCGAUGCGGCAGGAAGAUAAUACAACAGUAAAUUAUUAUAACUCAUAACAUUGCUUUUCUUUUUAUUAUGCAUAAGGCCAAAACAAUAGGGUACUAAUUCGAUACACUUUAAAUUACAGGGUACUAAAGUGAGAAAGUGCGAAAUCACACGAUACUAAAAUACACUUUAAAGCACAUGGUGCUAAAGCGAAAUAGUGUGAAACCACUGGGGGGUAUUUGAAGUUUUCCAUAAAAUCCAAUACCUUUUUUAACAAUUCCC
rnacentral:lncRNA from 1 species